GGGGCUAUAGCUCAGUUGGUAGAGUGCUUGCCUUGCAUGCACAAGGCCCUGGGUUCAA
rnacentral:tRNA from 1 species